AUUGAACGCUGGCGACAUGCCUAACACAUGCAAGUCGAACGAGUGGCGGACGGGUGAGUAAUGUCUGGGAAACUGCCCGAUGGAGGGGGAUAACUACUGGAAACGGUAGCUAAUACCGCAUACCAUCGGAUGUGCCCAGAUGGGAUUAGCGUGUAGGUGAGGUAACGGCUCACCUAGGCGACGAUCCCUAGCUGGUCUGAGAGGAUGACCAGUCACACUGGAACUGAGACACGGUCCAGACGCCUACGGGAGGCAGCAGUGGGGAAUAUGGCACAAUGGGAGCAAGCCUGAUACAGCCAUGGCGCGUGUAGGAAGAAGGCCUUGGGGUUGGAAAGUACUUUCAGCGGGGAGGCGUUACCCGCAGAAGAAGCACCGGCUAACUCCGUGCCAGCAGCCGCGGUAAUAC
rnacentral:rRNA from 1 species